rnacentral:rRNA from 1 species
GAUGAACGCUGGCUGCGUGCCUAAUACAUGCAAGUCGAGCGAACGGACGAGAAGCUUGCUUCUCUGAUGUUAGCGGCGGACGGGUGAGUAACACGUGGAUAACCUACCUAUAAGACUGGGAUAACUUCGGGAAACCGGAGCUAAUACCGGAUAAUAUUUUGAACCGCAUGGUUCAAAAGUGAAAGACGGUCUUGCUGUCACUUAUAGAUGGAUCCGCGCUGCAUUAGCUAGUUGGUAAUGUAACGGCUUACCAAGGCAACGAUGCAUAGCCGACCUGAGAGGGUGAUCGGCCACACUGGAACUGAGACACGGUCCAGACUCCUACGGGAGGCAGCAGUAGGGAAUCUUCCGCAAUGGGCGAAAGCCUGACGGAGCAACGCCGCGUGAGUGAUGAAGGUCUUCGGAUCGUAAAACUCUGUUAUUAGGGAAGAACAUAUGUGUAAGUAACUGUGCACAUCUUGACGGUACCUAAUCAGAAAGCCACGGCUAACUACGUGCCAGCAGCCGCGGUAAUACGUAGGUGGCAAGCGUUAUCCGGAAUUAUUGGGCGUAAAGCGCGCGUAGGCGGUUUUUUAAGUCUGAUGUGAAAGCCCACGGCUCAACCGUGGAGGGUCAUUGGAAACUGGAAAACUUGAGUGCAGAAGAGGAAAGUGGAAUUCCAUGUGUAGCGGUGAAAUGCGCAGAGAUAUGGAGGAACACCAGUGGCGAAGGCGACUUUCUGGUCUGUAACUGGCGCUGAUGUGCGAAAGCGUGGGGAUCAAACAGGAUUAGAUACCCUGGUAGUCCACGCCGUAAACGAUGAGUGCUAAGUGUUAGGGGGUUUCCGCCCCUUAGUGCUGCAGCUAACGCAUUAAGCACUCCGCCUGGGGAGUACGACCGCAAGGUUGAAACUCAAAGGAAUUGACGGGGACCCGCACAAGCGGUGGAGCAUGUGGUUUAAUUCGAAGCAACGCGAAGAACCUUACCAAAUCUUGACAUCCUUUGACAACUCUAGAGAUAGAGCUUUCCCCUUCGGGGGACAAAGUGACAGGUGGUGCAUGGUUGUCGUCAGCUCGUGUCGUGAGAUGUUGGGUUAAGUCCCGCAACGAGCGCAACCCUUAAGCUUACUUGCCAUCAUUAAGUUGGGCACUCUAAGUUGACUGCCGGUGACAAACCGGAAGAACGUGGGGAUGACCUCAACUCAUCAUGCCCCUUAUGAUUUGGGCUACACACGUGCUACAAUGGACAAUAAACAGGGCAGCGAAACCGUGAAGUCAAGUCAAUCCCAUAAAGUUGUUCUCAGUUUCCAUUGUAUUCUGCCACUCGCCUACAUGAAGCUGGAAUCGCUAGUAAUCGAAGAAUCACCUGCUACGGUGAAAUCCUUCCCCGGGUU